CAUGCUACUGUCAAGUUACCAUCUGGGGAGGAGAAAUCUGUCCGUGAGCUUGUUGCUGACGAUGAAUGGUUGAAUGGAGAGUUUAUUACCACUGUUCAACAACGUGGAGCUGCUAUCAUCAAAGCCCGGAAGCUCUCAAGUGCAUUGUCAGCUGCUAGUGCAGCUUGUGAUCACAUUCGUGAUUGGGUGCUUGGAACUCCGGAGGGCACCUGGGUUUCCAUGGGAGUUUAUUCUGAUGGAUCAUACAAUGUACCAGCUGGACUAAUCUACUCAUUCCCCGUGACCUGCCGUAACGGUGAAUGGUCAAUUGUGCAAGGACUUUCGGUUGAUGAAUUCUCUAGGAAGAAACUGGACUUGACUGCCGAGGAGCUGACUGAGGAAAAGGCGUUGGCUUACUCAUGCCUCUCCUAAAUGGUUGUCCCCUUCUUCACGUUGGUAGUAAAAAGUGGCUCUUAAUUUACGUACUUUUUUGACUGGCUACAGUUUUGAUUUGAAUAAUGCCAUUGUUAAGAAGAGCUUAUAGGAAGCAGUGAAACAGGACGAUCAACUUCUGCUUCUGUUUAUGUAUUUCCAUUUUGUUGAGGAUUUUUCGUUUCCCCUUACCGCUUCAGCCGGCAAUGAAACCAUCAACUGCCUGUGUCUGUGAUGAGUUUUACAUGAACUUCGUUGAUUGGAU
rnacentral:misc_RNA from 1 species